GUGCUCGCUUUGGCAGCACAUAUACUAAAACUGGAACAAUACAGAGAAGAUUAGCAUCGCCCUUGCGCAAGGAUGACACGCAAAUUCGCAAAGCGUUCCAUAUUUUU
ensembl:snRNA U6 U6 spliceosomal RNA